rnacentral:rRNA from 1 species
CCUACGGGUGGCAGCAGUGGGGAAUAUUGCACAAUGGGGGAAACCCUGAUGCAGCGACGCCGCGUGAGUGAAGAAGUAUUUCGGUAUGUAAAGCUCUAUCAGCAGGGAAGAAAAUGACGGUACCUGACUAAGAAGCCCCGGCUAACUACGUGCCAGCAGCCGCGGUAAUACGUAGGGGGCAAGCGUUAUCCGGAUUUACUGGGUGUAAAGGGAGCGUAGACGGCAGCGCAAGUCUGAAGUGAAAUCCCGUGGCUUAACCCCGGAACUGCUUUGGAAACUGUGCGGCUAGAGUGCGGGAGAGGUAAGCGGAAUUCCUAGUGUAGCGGUGAAAUGCGUAGAUAUUAGGAGGAACACCAGUGGCGAAGGCGGCUUACUGGACUGUAACUGACGUUGAGGCUCGAAAGCGUGGGGAGCAAACAGGAUUAGAUACCCUUGUAGUC